GAUUGUCAAGGGCUUCCAUUCGCCAACUUCUACUCACGUUUCAAGGUUUGAGCUGAAGUUUUGCAACUUUUGCACAACCACAUACAUAGUCGGCUUCCGGUGCCCGGUAUCGUGCGAAGUGGCUUUCAGGCCCAGCGGGGUGCCUGAGUGUGCUGUUUUCCUCCCCAGCGAUCCUUAUUACCGGUGCCAGAAGCUGCAUGCGAGAACUGCAAACU
rnacentral:lncRNA from 1 species